GUGCUCACUUUGGCAGCACAUAUACUAAAAUUGGAGUGAUACAGAGAAGAUUAGCAUGGCCCCUGAGCAAAGAUGACACAUGAAUUCAUGAAGCGUUCCAUAUUUAA
rnacentral:snRNA from 1 species